UGUCGCCACUCUGUUCUCUCUACCGCUCUGGCUCAAACCACGAAUCAACAGAAGAAAGUUCAUUUGUAGUUCUAAACAUAUUUAGGGUGUUUUUACCCACUUGUUGUCUCUCCCACGAUGUUAUUCCUCUCUUCUACAGCGUCAAUUAUUGAGUCAGAGCUUAUUAAAAGACACAAGAAUCUGACGACGGAAAAUCUCGUCAACGGCUAAACUGUUACCUGGAAAGUGAGAAAUGGAUAAAAAGACGUUGGUGAAGCGGAGCCAUGCUAACAUGCUAAGCUCCUGAAGUUCGAUGGAAAAUGACCACAUGUCAAGGAAGGCUGCUGAGGUUGAGAGAGUCUCAGUGUCCGACAGAGAAGACCCGGGACUAUGCUGUAAAGAAGAAAAUUACAAGGAGGCCUGGAUCUGGGAAACUUAAAUCUACUAGUGAAUCAAAUGGGCCAUGCCGAUCCAUCUUAAGGCAGUCAGAGCUGCUAAAAUAAUGAAAUUAAAAAAAAAAGAUCUGUCUGCAUCAGUGCAUUAGUGCAGAUGAAGGUGGACAAACAUAUUUUUCCCAUGAAGGAGGUCCAAAAAGUGCUUCACCAGCAAAUUCAAUGAUGUGGUCAAGCUAGGAAAACAAGAGGUGUAAUUCAUUUCACAAUUCACGCCCCACACACACACAAAGACACAGGACACAUCCAAGCACCCAAUACUGCCAUAAUUAAAUGCAUAGUGAAUGAUUAUGAAUUAGAUUUUUCAUUAUGUAUGUAUAGAGUUUAUAUAUAGAGAUUUAUACCACAAUACAUUAUUCAGUUAUAUAAUUGUAUAUAUUACUGUAUAAUAAAAUUAUAUUAUUGUAUAAUUACCAUCGUAAAAUAAAUUAUUAAGUGUAAUAUAAUUAUGUUAUUAUAUAACAAAUACAAUCUAUUACUAUUAUUUUCUAUAUUACUAUUAUUAUAGAACAUUUAACAUUGCAAUAUAGAAUGCCAAGUUGGUAAAUGUGUUAUCAGUUUACCAUUUAGAAGGAAUCCUUACCAGUUGUUUUUGUGCGUGUUGUAACGUUCCCUUUAAGGGGUAUGAGCAUGCGCAUUUUGGAGAGAGUAUCAGACAGCGAUAGAGAAGCAUGCAUGGUGUUAGCUCGGUUUGUAGCCUGACUGUUUUAUUCUACUGCUGCUGCUAUCCGGAUUGUGAUGAAUGGAAGUGUGGGUGCUCCUGUGCCAAAUAAAUACUCCCAUUACCUGCA